AUGACGCAGGCGGAGGCAGAUGCCGGCAAGGCGGCCAUCCAGCGCGCGCUGCGGGCGCUGCGGCAGCGGCAUCUCGUCGAGGAGGGGGCCCACCGCCCCGCCAUCGAGGCGCUCAACCGGCCCUUCGCCGCCCACGCUUUGGAGUGGAAAGAGAAGGCCGAGAAGAACGAGUUGGAGCUGCAGCAGUGCUACAAGGCUCAAUCCCGGUUGUCUGAGCAGCUCGUUUCCGAGAUAAACGAGGCGAAAACGUCCAAAGCGCUGCUCAAAGAGAAGGAGGCACUGAUUACGGCUUUGCAGAGUGAACUUCAGCAGACUAGCGAAGAGAACGUACAGCUAAAACAGUCACUUGAAGAGAAGACAAACGCUUUAGAUCUUCUCGUUCAGGAGCACCAGGCGGCUAAAGCCGAACUUGAACGGGUGCUAACAAAACUUAAAGCUGUGGAGCAUGAGAACACACAGCUGGUUGAGCGAUUGAUGCAAGCGAAGAUGGUGGAGGCAGAGAAGCUUAAUGAGGCCAAUGCGAUGUAUGAGGAGAUGGUCCUAAAGCUAAAGGCAGCUGGGCUUGGCGCUGGCGGAAUACAACACCAUGCACAACAAGAAGCUGAUGGCGUCAUUCGGCGAUCCGAAGCUGGGUAUGUUGACAUCAUGGAAACACCAAUCCCAUCUACAUGCAGGAUCACCAUCCGUGCUCAUGAUGGUGGGUGUGGAUCUAUAAUAUUCCAGAAUAACACAGAUAAGCUAAUCAGUGGUGGCCAGGAUCAAACUGUCAAGAUAUGGUCUGCGCAUACUGGUGCUUUAACCUCCACUCUGCAGGGUUGCUUGGGGACUGUCAACGAUCUUGCUGUGACCAACGAUAACAAGUUUGUAAUUGCCGCCUGUAGCUCUAACAAGUUGUUUGUAUGGGAAGUUAAUGGGGGGCGUCCUCGUCACACUCUGACUGGCCACACAAAAAAUGUCUGUUCUGUAGACGCAAGCUGGGUGAAAAGUUUGGUCAUUGCUAGUUCAUCCAAUGACCGCACUAUCAAGAUCUGGGAUCUCCAGACUGGCUUCUGUAAAAGCACCAUAAUGUCAGCAAGCAAUCCCAAUACACUAGCUUUCAUCCAUGGCGAUGCCAUUUGCUCAGGUCAUAGGGAUGGAAGCCUAAAGUUCCAUGAUAUCCGCAGUGGAAAAUGUUUUGCCACGGUAGCAGCUCAUAUUGAUGUCAGCUCGAUCUGUGUAACCCGGAGCAAAAACCAUGUUCUUUCAAGUGGGAGAGAGGGCGUGCACAAGCUUUUUGAUGUUAGAAUGCCGACGGAGGUAGUGGAGAUUUGUGGAACAUUCAGGGCCCCGAGUAACAGAUUGGUUGGCAGCUGGGGCAGAGCUUGUAUAAGCCCGGAUGAGAACUGCAUAGCGUCUGGCUCCUCUGAUGGGUCUGUUUGCAUAUGGUCGAGAUCGAAGAACGAGGGGCCGACCAUCCUAGAGGGCCACUCAUUGCCGGUUGUUACAAGUGCAUGGUCUGAGUUUGGACCUCUUGCCACCGCCGACAAGAAUCAUAUUCAUAUAUGGGCUUGA
rnacentral:rRNA from 1 species